rnacentral:rRNA from 1 species
GCUAGUGUUGAUGACAAACCAGUUAUUACUGUGGAUAUUUAUGAUCCAAGCAAUUUGGGUAAUCUUGAAAAUAAAUUGAGGGAUAUAUUAGUGGAAAGGGGGCCUAAAAGGGAAGAAGAAAACACUAAAUAUUCUUUGGAUGAAAAUUCAAGACAUUUUUCAUAUACGCAUUACUCAAGAAAUAUGUGCAAUUGUCCAACAAAGUGGAUAUUUAAAUAA